rnacentral:rRNA from 1 species
UCGCGUUGUUCGUGAAAACUCACAGCUUAACUGUGGGCGUGCGGGCGAUACGGGCAGACUAGAGUACUGCAGGGGAGACUGGAAUUCCUGGUGUAGCGGUGGAAUGCGCAGAUAUCAGGAGGAACACCGGUGGCGAAGGCGGGUCUCUGGGCAGUAACUGACGCUGAGGAGCGAAAGCGUGGGGAGCGAACAGGAUUAGAUACCCUGGUAGUCCACGCCGUAAACGGUGGGUACUAGGUGUGGGUUCCUUCCUUGGGAUCCGUGCCGUAGCUAACGCAUUAAGUACCCCGCCUGGGGAGUACGGCCGCAAGGCUAAAACUCAAAGGAAUUGACGGGGGCCCGCACAAGCGGCGGAGCAUGUGGAUUAAUUCGAUGCAACGCGAAGAACCUUACCUGGGUUUGACAUGCACAGGACGCUGGUAGAGAUAUCAGUUCCCUUGUGGCCUGUGUGCAGGUGGUGCAUGGCUGUCGUCAACUCGUGUCGUGAGAUGUUGGGUUAAGUCCCGCAACGAGCGCAACCCCUAUCUUAUGUUGCCAGCGCGUUAUGGCGGGGACUCGUAAGAGACUGCCGGGGUCAACUCGGAGGAAGGUGGGGAUGACGUCAAGUCAUCAUGCCCCUUAUGUCCAGGGCUUCACACAUGCUACAAUGGCCGGUACAAAGGGCUGCGAAUCCGCGAGGUGGAGCNNNUNCCUUGAAAGCCGGUCUCAGUUCGGAUCGGGGUCUGCAACUCGACCCCGUGAAGUUGGAGUCGCUAGUAAUCGCAGAUCAGCAACGCUGCGGUGAAUACGUUCCCGGGCCUUGUCACACCGCCCGUCACGUCAUGAAAGU